rnacentral:ncRNA from 1 species
AUUCUCAGGGCGGGGUGAAAGUCCCCACCGGUGGUGACAGCCCACGAGCCUUCCGAGGUAAGAUCCGGGUGUAAUUCCCGAGCCGACGGUAAAAGUCCGGAUAGGAGAGAGUA